rnacentral:sRNA from 1 species
UUUUAGCCCUGAUCGAAGUGGAAAUCCUUGUUGCCCGGGGUUCGGGUGGCAAGAUUGAAACGCAGAGCAGGAACAAUG